GGUUCCGAUUGGGUGACCCAAGAUAUUAAUAUGAUUUUUGGAACCUGGCGGAGUGCU
rnacentral:miRNA from 1 species